GGUAAAACCUUCCUACAAGUUGUUCUUAAAGAUGACGCCGUUGACUAUAAUAUACUGUUGAGCUUACAAAGACAGGCAAGCAAGGAAGAAACAAGAUGCAGAACCUGAUGAUGACAGAAUGUGGAGGAAAGGUAAAAGACUGUGUUUGCCACGAGUGUUGUACCCCAUGAUGGCCCAGAUUACCCAUGGACCUACACAUCUAUCCAAGAUGCACAUGAACAGCAUAGUAAACACCCAUUGGGUAGCACCCGGAUUUACUGUUGUAGCAGCUAAACACACCCAAGCUUGCAUGAUUUGUGCUAGAAACAAUCCAGGACAGGCUGUCAAAACACCAAGUAAGCACACACCAAGGCCACUUUACCCGUUUCAAAGACUGCAGAUAGACUAUAUUCAACUACCUAAGGUAGGAGUGUAUGAAUAUGUGUUGGUG